AGAAUCAACGCUGGCGGCGUGCCUAACACAUGCAAGUCGCACGAGAAAGGGUAGCAAUACCUGAGUAAAGUGGCGCACGGGUGAGUAACACGUGAAUUAUCUACCUCCGAGUGGGGAAUAACUGAGAGAAAUCUUAGCUAAUACCGCAUAACACUUACGAGUCAAAGCAGCAAUGCGCUUGGAGAGGAGUUCGCGGCAGAUUAGUUAGUUGGCGGGGUAAUGGCCCACCAAGACGAUGAUCUGUAUCCGGCCUGAGAGGGCGCACGGACACACUGGAACUGAAACACGGUCCAGACUCCUACGGGAGGCAGCAGUGGGGAAUUUUGCGCAAUGGGGGAAACCCUGACGCAGCAACGCCGCGUGGAGGAUGAAAUAUCUUGGUAUGUAAACUCCUUUCGAUGGGGAAGAUUAUGACGGUACCCAUAGAAGAAGCCCCGGCUAACUUCGUGCCAGCAGCCGC
rnacentral:rRNA from 1 species